rnacentral:rRNA from 1 species
UACGUAGGCAGCGAGCGUUGUUCGGAGUUACUGGGCGUAAAGGGUGUGUAGGCGGUUGUUUAAGUUUGGUGUGAAAUCUCCCGGCUUAACUGGGAGGGUGCGCCGAAUACUGAAUGACUAGAGUGCGGGAGAGGUGAGUGGAAUUCCUGGUGUAGCGGUGAAAUGCGUAGAUAUCGGAAGGAACACCUGUGGCGAAAGCGGCUCACUGGACCAUAACUGACGCUGAUGCACGAAAGCUAGGGGAGCAAACAGG